rnacentral:rRNA from 1 species
UGCAAGUCGAGCGAAGCGCUGUUUUCAGAAUCUUCGGAGGAAGAGGACAGUGACUGAGCGGCGGACGGGUGAGUAACGCGUGGGCAACCUGCCCCAUACAGGGGGAUAACAGUUAGAAAUGACUGCUAAUACCGCAUAAGCGCACAGGACCGCAUGGUGUAGUGUGAAAAACUCCGGUGGUAUGAGAUGGACCCGCGUCUGAUUAGGUAGUUGGUGGGGUAAAGGCCUACCAAGCCGACGAUCAGUAGCCGACCUGAGAGGGUGACCGGCCACAUUGGGACUGAGACACGGCCCAAACUCCUACGGGAGGCAGCAGUGGGGAAUAUUGCACAAUGGGGGAAACCCUGAUGCAGCGACGCCGCGUGAAGGAAGAAGUAUUUCGGUAUGUAAACUUCUAUCAGCAGGGAAGAAAAUGACGGUACCUGAGUAAGAAGCACCGGCUAAAUACGUGCCAGCAGCCGCGGUAAUACGUAUGGUGCAAGCGUUAUCCGGAUUUACUGGGUGUAAAGGGAGCGUAGACGGAUAGGCAAGUCUGGAGUGAAAACCCAGGGCUCAACCCUGGGACUGCUUUGGAAACUGCAGAUCUGGAGUGCCGGAGAGGUAAGCGGAAUUCCUAGUGUAGCGGUGAAAUGCGUAGAUAUUAGGAGGAACACCAGUGGCGAAGGCGGCUUACUGGACGGUGACUG